AACGUAGGAGACAAACGUUAUCCGGAGUUACUGGGCGUAAAGGGCGUGUAGGCGGUUUGUUAAGUCUGGCGUGAAAGCUCUCGGCUAAACCGGGAGAGGUCGUUGGAUACUGGCGAACUAGAGGAUGGUAGAGGCGUGUGGAAUUCCGGGUGUAGCGGUGAAAUGCGCAGAUAUCAGGAGGAACACCAGCGGCGAAGGCGGCGCUCUGGGCCGGAACUGACGCUGAGGAGCGAAAGCGUGGGUAGCAAACAGG
rnacentral:rRNA from 1 species